AUCAUCUUCACCGUCGGUCUACCGAGCAAUUUCAUCUGCUCGGUGGAAAAUCUUCCCUUUGUUGU
rfam:Bombyx mori DNA, contig: Bm_scaf5_contig4615, strain: p50T/Dazao, build 2, whole genome shotgun sequence.